rnacentral:tmRNA from 1 species
GGGGGCGAACAGCAUCGAUUCGGACCUGUGAGUCGUGGGGGGCAUGCCGAGGUGGUCAGGAGGCCUCGUGCCGCAAGGCACCCCCGCGGUUUGAUUUGCACCGCAUUGCGGGGCAAAUCAGCGGGGGGAAAAACCUGACAGCAACACAAAUGCCAACACGUUGGCAUUCAACACCGUUGGAGACCUGGAGAGAAUCUGGGCCGCUGACGGUGUAGAAGUCGCAACCGUCUAACACCGGGUGCGCCGUCUGCGGAGUCAGCCUGCGGGCUCAGUGGACGUCAUCAGCAGGCUGGUCCCGUCUUGGGCGACCGAGGGGCGGGGCGAGGAGCAUUCGGUCGCUGGCCCCGGCCGGCCGGCCAUGCGGACGGGUCGGGGCGAGAGCGGAAACGCACGGCUACGCAUGUAGAGGGCCCACGCUCUCGAUUCGAAGACGCGGGCUGCGAUGCCCGCCGCCUCCACCA